GCCGGCCCCACGCAGGAGCCCCGGCAGGGGCAGGAAGCGCCCCCCGCCCGCCCGGGGGGAGGGGGCGGCUGGGUACUCCCGGCGAGCGCUCCCCGGACCAGCUGCCAAGCGGUGGCUAUUCAAAGAGAAACUGGUACCACUUAAGGCUAAUGGGUGCCUUUUGUACCGGCAAGUGUUGGUACUUUGUGCGAAAAGUUUACAAAAGUUUGUUUGACUGAUACAGUCCAAGUCACUCUAACAGAGCAUCACAGAGAAAAAACCCAACCGCCUCUUCCCUGCCUGUUUGUGCUCAGCUGCCUUUCCUGCCUGGGGGUGAGGGUGCUCCGGAAGAAAACGGUGCUCAUCAGGCAGGAGGAAUGUCACCAGUGACCUGACCCUGGAGCCAGAUUGCUCCAGGAAAAGAAAUGUGGGCAGCUCAGACUAGGCUGAACCUUGUAUAAUUUUGACUUUUUUUUUUUUUUUUUAAAUCUUUUUGGGGGGUUUUCCGUGUGCGUUGCAGAGAUGCACAACUUAGAAAGUACAUUUUCUUUGAUUUUAAACUGGGAAGAAGGUUUACUGCGUCCAUGGCAGUAUCUCCAUCGUCUUACAGCAAUACAAGUCAUAAUUAUUAUGGUAAUAAUAAUAAAAAGGAUACACAUUCUCUGAUAGACUUCAGUCUGUCUUAGUUCUGUAACCCUACAAUCUGUAGGGUUGGUUUCAUUUAAUACAAUGAAAGUAAUACCAGCUCUGCACCUGAGAAAUCACAAAGUCCCUCCUAGGCAAAUGAUUUCAUCAGUUACCUACAGAACUGCACUGACGGAUUUUCCUUUUUACUUAAGGAAAACACUUUUAUAUAGGCUUGAAGGUGCACUUAUUUUUCAGUCGUUUUCCAUCCCUAACAAGUAAAUUUGAUUCUGAGAUUCAUAUAAGCAGUAUAUAUAUACACACACACAUUUUUUGUAACAGGAAAACAAAGGCGGGCUCUGGAGCAGCGGUGCCUGUGAUCCCCGUCAGCGCGCCCACGUGUUCCGUUUCAGGCAGCCCAUUCGGGGUCAGAUUCUUCUCUGGCACCAGUCAUAAUUUCAGAGCUUUUUUAAUUGGAAGAGACAUUUAUGUUGCCUUGAAUUAAUGAUGUUCAAGGAAAAAAAUGCAAUGCUUGCAAAGCACGAGGUUCUAUAAUUAAUUUUAAUUUGCCAAUUAACUUUCAGAUAUGUAGCCGCCUCUAUACAUGCCCUAGAUUUCACCAGGGAAAGUCUUUAAAAAGUGUAUUUUUCAUGUUAGAAUGAAAACUCUCAUAAGUGAUCAUGUAAAUAAAGAAAACUAGGUUACCUUUCUGCUACAGCUUCUAACAUACACAUUUAAGAAGGAGAGGUGCUUGCUACAGCAUUUAAUAUACGUGCAACUGUUUGUUAGGGAUAGUUCAGUAAAGAAACACACAUAUUUUUUGAGCUUCACAGGCGGUUGGAAAAUCAUUGAUUUUACGUAAGUCUAUCCAUUUAGUUGUACAAAUUCAUUAAGUUUUUCAGAUGCAAAGGUUUAAUGGGUUGGAGUCAUUUUCUGCAUUAACUGAUCUUCUGUCCUGACUCUGGGCAGCCACUAGCCACAGCAAGAUUUUAAUGCAGGAGGUGCUAAGACUAAAACGUGCUUGGCAAAUUUAUGCGGAGGUUGGAGAGAGAGAAUUUCAAAGGACCCUCCAGCUCUUUGCAUAUUUGUACUUCUGACUUUGGGUAGUAAAUUUAGGUUGUAGUUUCAGUAGAUUUUUUUCAAUGCUGCUUGCAGUUUGUUAUUAGGGAUAUGGUGUCAUGUGAAGCAGCUUUGUAGAAAGCGCAAGCUUAGGUUCCCAUGAGGGGUCUAGUGUGUUUUAGUAUUCCAAGGAGUAGUCACCAUUAAUAUUAACCCUCUUCAAGCUGGGUCACCAACUUGCAACAAGACGGAAUGUGCACUUUAUAUGUGGGUUUUCCUUGGAGGCUUUGGACCUUUUUAGUUCAGUCCUUUGAACUUCGCCUCCCAUGAAAAAGAUUGCAGCGCUGCCUCGCUCUUCAUCCCUGGCUGGGCUGUGGGACUGCCUUUUUGUGUGUUUCCUGUCUGAAUUAUUUAUCUGCUGUGGUCAGGAAGGUCAGCCCUUCUGUUGCUGACACAACUGGGGAGAGAUGCAAAAGCAGAGAAGGUGUGUGUGAUAUUUUUUCACUUUUCUGAUCUUCAGGCAAGUUGAAAAGCAGCAAUUGAAAGCUUACAUUCAAAUAAAAGAUAUCAACACAUGGAAGAGAACAAAGGCAAGAAAGUCAAGCUUUUAUUUAGGAAAAUGGUGAAUUUCUCAUUGAAUUCCUACAUUGUUUGUCCCUUGACUGCUGCGUGGGAACAGCCAAUGUUUUCCGGUUGCAUAUUACGUAGUUUUGUUUAUUGAAAAGUUCUGCAGUACUUGCUCCUGGUCAGAGUAACAGGACCUACGUGAUAACUAGCCUCAGGUAUUGUAUUAGCUGUUCUAGAUACGGUGUACUUCUAACUAAUAACAGAUUUUCCAAGGGACAAGAUUUUACGUCAUAGACUUGUGAGACCUGCCUAUGCCAACAUCUUUCUGUAAUUACAUACACUGGGUAAUUCUGUUACUGUGCAGUGGCAACAAAGUCCACCCCAUGGAAAAGAUUGCUCAGAAGAAGCCAUCAGUGCUUUAACUGCUGCACUUACUAGAUGUCUGCUCUGAUCAAUGCUUGCCAUGCAUCUCGUGUACUAAUGAUCUUACCAUUCCUCCCACUGUUGAAGCUGCACCGAUAGGAAAGGUGGGAAAUUUUGAGGAAAAAAGCCUACUACAAGGCAGAGCACUGUAACCUGUCACCCCCUUCUGAUCCCAUAAGGUGAUUACCGGCUGUAUGACA